UGUAGGAGCCGGCUUGCUGGCGAUGGCGGUGUGUCAUUGACGUUUUAGUCGAUUGAUACGCCGCUAUCGCCAGCAAGCCGGCUCCUACG
rnacentral:misc_RNA from 1 species